AGUCUGCAACCCGACUACAUGAAGCUGGAAUCGCUAGUAAUCGCGAAUCAGAAUGUCGCGGUGAAUACGUUCCCGGGUCUUGUACACACCGCCCGUCACACCAUGGGAGUCGGAAAUGCCCGAAGUCAGUGACCCAACCGUAAGGAGGGAGCUGCCGAAGGUGGAGCCGGUAACUGGGGUGAAGUCGUAACAAGGUAGC
rnacentral:rRNA from 1 species